UAGACUCUAAAGAGCCUUUUAAA
rnacentral:tRNA from 1 species